CCUGUCCUCCCUCCAGAGCCACUGAUGGUUGGAGCAAGAGUGUGAAAAAGUUCCAGUAAUUCGAUCAGUGGAUGGCUACAAAAAAGAGAAAGUCUUCAAAGAGGAGAUGGCAUUUGCACUUGAAAAGCUCCACCGUGUUGAGAUGGAUGGAAUGCGUCCCAUCAAAUGUACAGAACUUAGAGAUGACAUCAAGAUCUGGUUAUGGUAACUACAGAAGGCUCUUGUUAGGAGGCAGAAUCCAAACAGUUUGGCUAAGAAAGAGAGCCACUGGGCUGAGCUAAGAGUUUGGAUGUGAUUCUGCAGGUGGUGAAUGUGGAAGAGAUGGCUCCACCUAAAUCCAUACUAUACUUCCCCAGUGUGAGUUCCCACUGAGAAGGGGCAUCUGUAUCCAGCCAGGACUACAUUUCCCAGAACUCCUUCUUUUCCGGGCAGGGCCAUGUGACCAGUUCUGGACAAAGGAAUGUGAGCCGAAGUGAUGUGAUUCAUGUCCACGCUAAGGCCAUUAAGAGGCAGUUGUGCUCUCUCUUCUUGGGCAAUUGAGAGGCAGUUGUGCCCUCUCCUGCCUGGAUGCAGAGGACCCAGUAGAUGGAAGAGCCUCAAAAGGAAAAGGGCCCAUGUCCCUAAACUUCAAGAGGGGAAACAUCUCCUAAAAACCAGGAACACCAGAUGAGUGAAAAGUGCACAUGUGUUAGGUCAUCAGUACCUGCAUAAAAGAGACUGGGUCUUUUUCCUCCUGGAGUUUUCCCAAGUUUUGGUGGUAGGAGGCUGUAGGUGGAGUUGACCUCAGAGUGUUCUGAUGGGGACCUCAAGUGAGAGAUGGCAGACCUGUCCAGCCCCUCUCCAUCAAGAGAAGGAAGAACCCUCCCGAGGAGGCAGCCUGGGUGGUGCUGGGAUUUGGCCAAGACACUCCAUCUGCUGGAAAGGCAACGGAAAGCUUCGAACCACUUUCUUUUGGCUUGUGAACUCACCGGCUAAUUGACAAAUGUGCGUCCUGUGCAUGAGCUGCGAAGAUUUUCCAUGAUCAGCAGAGCCCAGUGAUAUCUGGGGUUCACCAAGAGCUGUGGGGCCCUUUGUGUCUAGAAACUUCUGGCCAUUGUCAGCAGAGAGGCCCCUGGUCGCUGUUCAGGGUCCUGCUCACUGGCAACCCAUGACAUACUGAGAGUCAUCAUUGUCCAAUGCUGAGCACAUAGUGAGUCCUCAAGAAAUAGUUCUUGAAUGAAUGAGUGAGUGAGUGAGUGAAAGAACAAGAGAAUAAAAGAACAAAAUGAGACCAUAUGCUUUUUACACCAAGUUGUAAGUUCAAUCCCUAACUGUGCCAAAAAGUUUUAAUUCUUUCCAGAAUUAAGGCCAUGCCAUGUGGUCCUAUGAGGGCCUUCUCUGAUUGUUUGUUUAUCAGCGAAUAUUUAUUGGGCUCCUACUAAGGGCAGGUUCUGAGCUCUAGCUGGACGCACCAGCCCAGCCAUCGGAUGGUGGGAAACCGUCUCUAAGCGCUGGAAGCUUAUCAGCGUGGGUGGGGACAGCAUCCCUGGCUGUGAGGAAG
rnacentral:lncRNA from 10 species